rnacentral:tRNA from 1 species
GCGGAUAUGGUGGAAUGGCAGACACGCUGGUCUUAGAAACCAGUGCGCAAGCUUGCAGGUUCAAGUCCUGUUAUCCGCACCA